rnacentral:rRNA from 1 species
AACGAACGCUGGCGGCAGGCUUAACACAUGCAAGUCGAGCGCCCCGCAAGGGGAGCGGCAGACGGGUGAGUAACGCGUGGGAACGUACCCUUUACUACGGAAUAACUCAGGGAAACUUGUGCUAAUACCGUAUGUGCCCUUUGGGGGAAAGAUUUAUCGGUAAAGGAUCGGCCCGCGUUGGAUUAGCUAGUUGGUGGGGUAAAGGCCUACCAAGGCGACGAUCCAUAGCUGGUCUGAGAGGAUGAUCAGCCACAUUGGGACUGAGACACGGCCCAAACUCCUACGGGAGGCAGCAGUGGGGAAUAUUGGACAAUGGGCGCAAGCCUGAUCCAGCCAUGCCGCGUGAGUGAUGAAGGCCUUAGGGUUGUAAGGCUCUUUCACCGGUGAAGAUAAUGACGGUAACCGGAGAAGAAGCCCCGGCUAACUUCGUGCCAGCAGCAGCCGCCG